rnacentral:misc_RNA from 1 species
GUUGGGUUUGAGAGAGAAAAGGGAGAAGAAAAACAAAAAACUUGUUUUCUCUUUUGUUUUGGUUAUAAGACUUAAGAUUUUCUUCCUUAGUGCUUGACAUUUCAUUCUGAAUAAACAUUGCUUAUAUACUGUGGAAAAACUAUUAACUACAUGCAUAAUAGCCACUUUUAGAAGUAUUGGCAGGAGAAGUCUGUUUGAUGUAAGGGCAUGGUCACCAAUUUCUGGCUUAAUGUAUGU